rnacentral:rRNA from 1 species
UACAGAGGUCUCAAGCGUUGUUCGGAUUUAUUGGGCGUAAAGGGUGCGUAGGCUGCAAAGUAAGUUAGAUGUGAAAUGCCAAAGCUUAACUUUGGAAAUGCAUUUAAUACUGCCUUGCUUGAGCUCUAGAGAAGAGGCUGGAAUUUACGGUGUAGCAGUGAAAUGCGUAGAUAUCGUAAGGAACAUCAGUGGCGAAAGCGAGCCUCUAGAUAGUAAGCUGACGCUGAGGCACGAAAGCCAAGGGAGCAAACGGG